GAGGGUGCUAAGGUAGCGAAAUUCCUUGCCUUUUGAUUGUGGGCCUGCAUGAAUGGUUUAACGAGGGUUUAACUGUCUCUAAAUUUUUUAUUGAAAUUGUACUGAAGGUGAAGAUACCUUCAUUUAAAAGUUAGACAAAAAGACCCCGUGCAACUUUGAAAAUUGACUUUAUUCAGGAGUAAAAGAUUUUUAGGUGGGGCGCCUAGAAAGCAAGUCUAACCUUUCUGAAUAACUAAUUCUUUCCGGAUUUGACCCGAUUAUAUUCGAUCAUAGGAGAAGUUACGCCGGGGAUAACAGGCUAAUCCUUUAGUAGAGUUCGUAUUGGCUAAAGGGAUUGGCACCUCGAUGUUGAAUCAGGGAUAAUAGCUUCAAGGCGUAGAGGCUUUGAAAGUAGGUCUGUUCGACCUUUAAUACC
rnacentral:rRNA from 1 species